CAGUCGCCGCGGUAAAACGGAGGGUGCAAGCGUUAAUCGGAAUUACUGGGCGUAAAGCGCACGCAGGCGGUCUGUCAAGUCAGAUGUGAAAUCCCCGGGCUUAACCUGGGAACUGCAUUUGAAACUGGCAGGCUAGAGUCUUGUAGAGGGGGGUAGAAUUCCAGGUGUAGCGGUGAAAUGCGUAGAGAUCUGGAGGAAUACCGGUGGCGAAGGCGGCCCCCUGGACAAAGACUGACGCUCAGGUGCGAAAGCGUGGGGAGCAAACAGGAUUAGAUACCCGCGUAGUCCCUGUCUCUUAUAC
rnacentral:rRNA from 1 species